rnacentral:rRNA from 1 species
UACGAGGGGGGCGAGCGUUGUUCGGAAUUAUUGGGCGUAAAGGGUGCGUAGGAGGUUUGGGAAGGAGGGGGGGAAAUCUACAGGCUCAACUUGUAGUCUGCACGAGAAACUGCCGGGCUUGAGUGUGGGAGAGGUGAGUGGAAUUCCUGGUGUAGCGGUGAAAUGCGCAGAUAUCAGGAGGAACACCGGUGGCGAAGGCGGUUCUCUGGGCAUUACCUGACGCUGAGGAGCGAAAGUGUGGGGAGCGAACAGG